GCCAACAUGGUGUAGUGGUUUGAGCUCUGGACUAGGACUCGAGAUCAGGGUUUGAAUCCCCGAGUUGGCC